CGAAGACACAGGCUCAUGAGUGCGGACACCGCCUGGUUUAUAGAGGAAUGUCAUGAGGAAUGUGCCUCGUCCUCCACCAUCCCGUCUCCAGGCUUCUGGAAUCAGCUGGCUGGGAUCGCUGCCUCGUGUUUUCAGGAGAAAAAGCAAACCUGACCAUUCACAGACAGGGCAAGUCAGCCUCGUCCGGCCCCGCGUCCCGGUCGGGGAAUUCCAGUCCACGCUGGCUCCACCCGGCCCAAUCUCUUAGGGCAGCACCCACAGGAUCACAGCUUCUCCGAGAGGCAAAGCUCAGCUUCAAGGGGGGAGCUCUGGAAGAACAGUUUCCUGGGUCCCAGGCCCUACCCCUUUUUCAAACACCGCUUUGCUCUCUGAUGCAGCUCCAGCCCCCGCCCCUGGCGACUCCCCCUGGCCUCCUGGUGCUUGCCCCAGGCCCUGGCCCGGGCUGAGCUCACAGGCUUCCCUGCCCCAUCUCAGGCGCCUCUCCCCAUCCUCUCCUCUACCCCGAAGCCGGGCCCGGCCCAGCGGCCCCGGGAGGGACUGCCGCGACACGUCUCACUGGUCGCUCGUGGAAGCAGGCUGGGUGAUUUUGCCGGCCGUCCCCGUGUGUUCAAGGGACUGUCAUGGACUCCACAGACAGUGGGAAAGCGCUCCCAGCAGCCACUGGGAACUUGGCCGCCUGCACCCCAUUGUCCACGUUCCGGCCCCACUUCCUUUGGUCGUGAACCAGCAGAAGUUGCUGAGGUCUGUUUCCCCCAUCAGGGUUCAAAUGACCUGGGUGAGUCAUAUUGCGGCCACUUCCUUUGGGAGACACUCACCAAAUAUCCACAAUUUUACUCCCGGCAGCCAAGAAAUUUCCAUCUGUUCAGAACAUACAAUUAAAAAUACAUCCAAAGUGAAAGGAACUUAUGACUCAGCAGGGCCCCGAGAGUGACUCACCGGCCGGGAGCCAUCGGCCCGUGUUUCUGGCCCCGCAUUCCUUUCUCAUUGACUCAGCAAACACUCGUCAAGCUCCUACUGUGUGUCAGGCACCACGCAGAGCUCACACCAAUGACCAGAGGCCCAGUAUCCACACUCAGGAGCGCCCAGUCUGGCGAGAGAAGGAGCUGUGGUCACAGCACAACCCAGGCUGUGGCUGGGUCAGGGCUGGCUGUGGAGAGUGGGUGACGCCCCCGGCCAUGGCACGAAGGACGCCCUUCAUCCCAGGUACCCACCCCACGCUUGCAGGAGCCUGGGAAGGACAGCGCCUCCCGACAGGUGCUUCCCGGGUGUGAGGUGCAGCCACGUGGCUGCGCGUCCAGGAGCUGAUCUCGUGGCCGCCCCGAGUUCUAUUUUGUGGAUGUUCCACCCCCACCCCACUGCCAGCGGUCAUCUGAGCUCUUUCCAGUUCAGGGGUGUUGGGAAUAAUGCUGCUGUAAACAACCUCACGUCUUUGGGUGAACAUGAGUAGGUGCUUCCUGCCCAGAACACACACUGAGGCCUGGAACUGCCGGGUCCCAGGUAAGAAACGUUAGACAGGAGUGGAUGCCAGCCACCGUUUUCCACGCCGGCCGUGGCACUCUGCCCACCGCCUGGAACUGUCCAUCUUUGAAAUGUUGGCCUCUCUAGGGUAGGACGGCGUCUCAGGGUUUGGUCUGCACCUCCCGGACGAUGGGUGAGGUUGGGCCCCUCCCACGUGGUCACCGGACACCCCCCAUCUCGACACGCCUCGGUCUGUCCACGCCUCUGCCAGGCAGGCGCUUUAUUCUCGGUGAUUCUUCAGAGUUCUUCGUACAUUCUCGACACAAGCCCUCCAUGAACCCUAAGAAAUGACACGUGCUGUGGCGCCUCUCACCGUGUGGCUGAAGUUCUGUCUUCACAGUGUUUUUGUGAGGAGGCUGUGGAGACGGAGGUCUUUCCCUGACUCUGUUCCUGCUGGGAAAAAGGACUCACGGGGCUUCUCUAUGACAGACCAGGUGCCCGCAGAAUCCACACUCCACAGACCAGUGUCCCCAAGUCACAGCCCUGGGUGUGGGAGAGUUGUCACCGAACCUAGGAACAGAGCCGUCCAGCAGGCGCCGCCGACUCAGGCCGGGAGGGUGACGCUGGGCCCCACGGAGGGGCGUUGGGAAGCGCCCACUCGCCCUGGGGGGUUCCGUGGGGCUCAGCCUCUCCUGCUCAAAGUCCAGACCUGAUUUCCGCGCUCAGGGCACAAUGCACUUUGGGAU
rnacentral:lncRNA from 1 species